ACCAAGAUCUAUGGGUUCUUUAAAAUGAUUUGGGUCGGGUCUAUAUGGUUCGGAUCAGGUCAGGAUACGGGUCAAUUCGACUCAUUUAUAGCCUUAGAAAAGACUCAUGGGCCAACUUGGAGGAGGAGGAUGAGGAGAGGUAGAUAAGUAAGAAGGAGAUCGGGAAGAAGGGGUUGCCGGUGGUUAUAGAUGGAGGUAGAGAGAGCCACCAUGAAGGAAGAGAAGUAGGUUAGGAGAAAGACG
rnacentral:lncRNA from 1 species